rnacentral:rRNA from 1 species
AGUACGUGAAACCGUUCAGGGGUAAACCUGAGAAACCCAAAAGAUCGAAUGGGGAGAUUCAUCGUCAGCUGCUUUGGCUUCCGUGCGAGCGCGAUGAUCGGGACUUCGGUUCCGUGUCACGCGCUCGCUGCGGUAUGUCCGGAGUGGUCGGCGUGCACUUYUCCCCUAGUAGGACGUCGCGACCCGUUGGGUGUUGGUCUACGGCCCGGAAGGUCGCCUGGCACGUCUCGUUCACGCGUGCACGAGCCAGACCUCUGGUUGCCCGACCGGCUGCCCGGCGGUAUAGAACGAUAAUUAACGGUAUUGAGUCGCACAAAGUGCGUUCAGGCCCGAUGGCAGGCUCAUCUCUCUCGGAUUUACGGACCUAGUGCCGUUGCCGGGUGCUUGGUGUGGCUGUGGUCAUCGGUGUCCUCGGACUGGCUCGAAAUAUUCGAACGGAUAUACCGGUCGGCGACGCUACUGCUUUGGGUACUUUCAGGACCCGUCUUGAAACACGGACCAAGGAGUCUAACAUGUGCGCGAGUCAUUGGGUAUUAAUUAAACCUAAAGGCGCAAUGAAAGUGAAAGUCGUCCUUUGCGUCGACCAAGGGAGGAUGGCUCGCGUCACGAUGCGAGUCCGCACUCCCGGGGCGUCUCGUGCUCAUUGCGAGCUGAGGCGCACCCAGAGCGUACACGUUGGGACCCGAAAGAUGGUGAACUAUGCCUGGUCAGGACGAAGUCAGGGGAAACCCUGAUGGAGGUCCGUAGCGAUUCUGACGUGCAAAUCGAUCGUCGGAACUGGGUAUAGGGGCGAAAGACUAAUCGAACCAUC